GGGUGCGAUCAUUCCAGCACUAAUGCAUCGGAUCCCAUCAGAACUCCACAGUUAAGCGUGCUUGGGCAAGAAUGGUACUAUGAUAAGCUUUGUCGCAAGAAUUCCAUAGACAUAGGCA
rnacentral:rRNA from 1 species